UAUAAAAAUCGCCGAGAACUUGAAUAUAACUUAAUAUUCUAUUUAAAAAAUCAAUACAGUCCAUAAACAAAAUAUAACCGAAAUUGCCGUAGCACGGAACAUAUUAAUAAAAUAUACAAUAAAAAUAAAGUAACCAGCAGAAAAUUGGACAUCAGACAAUACUGCUUUCAACUGCGAUCUCCGUUGAAAGACGAUCGCAGAAUGGACGGCCGACUUCAAAAACGAAGGAAAUAAAACGCACGCUUCGACCACUCGGGAACCGUGGACAGAGAUAAGUGGAGAAAAGAAGUUUGUUGUGUUUGGGGUUCGCGGAACUUCACCGCGGCGGUAGCUUUAAUCCCCGCAAAUCCUUUGAGCUCCAUUAGCGACUUCGUUGCUGGACCAAAUUUCAUCGAACGCUCGCACACGCUGCACGUCCCAGAUGCUGCGGCAGCUAUCUCUUAAAUGUACAGGCCGUCGGAAAGGUUCGGCCGCUCUGUCCCCCGGCAAUAUGGCCGGAGCCUAAGCCGCGGACUAAGCCCGACGUUCAAAAUGGCGGCGGCCUCCGCUUGCAUAAGGAACGACUCGACCCUCCUAAACAUCCUUCAUUACUUUGGGACCCCGCGCCCUGGAAAAAAAGGGCGACCCGAGGAGAUAGACGUCGACGAGCAGGUUCUGCUAUGAGAAACGAGCUGUUCCCCUUGUGACGGUUCUGAGAAAAUCUGGAGGUGGAUUAGCUCGUGACAGUAUUCUCUCGACAAGGCUCGAUUCCUAGGAUCAACUUAGGAGACCCCUAGUGCAAGCAGAUAAGAGGACACCGAGGUCGGUGCAUUUGAAGCAAUGGUUGCAUCAUGUUAAAAGUGAAGAGACACUUCAGUUGCGUGUAGCUGCUCGGUACACGUGUUAGACACGUCGGCCCCGCUUUGAACCUGUUAGUUGUUCCUGGCAGACGGUUCCUAUUCCACUUGUCUGCCUGGGGACUUCCUCAUACUACUUGAGCAACGAGGAAGGAUAGCGUGUUGACUCCCGCAUUACAAAUAUCCCUGGACACUUGCGCCUUAUGGAGAACGAUAUUAUUUUCUCCUUGUUAGACUGUCACUUAUACGUAUCUAUUUUGCAAGCUUUAUUAAAUUAUACUGUUUAUGCGAUAUUGUAGACUGUUUUGUGAUACUGCGUGUAUAUG